AGCAGCCGCCGCGGGAAUACCGAGGGUGCGAGCGUUAAUCGGAUUUACUGGGCGUAAAGCGUGCGUAGGCGGCUUCUUAAGUCGGAUGUGAAAUCCCUGAGCUUAACUUAGGAAUUGCAUUCGAUACUGGGAAGCUAGAGUAUGGGAGAGGAUGGUAGAAUUCCAGGUGUAGCGGUGAAAUGCGUAGAGAUCUGGAGGAAUACCGAUGGCGAAGGCAGCCAUCUGGCCUAAUACUGACGCUGAGGUACGAAAGCAUGGGGAGCAAACAGGAUUAGAUACCCGCGUAGUCCCUGUCUCUUAUAA
rnacentral:rRNA from 1 species